AUGGAUUGGAAUUCUCGUGUACUCUCUUGGAAUGUGAGGGGUCUUAAUAACCCUGCUAAAAGGAAUGCGGUUAGGGAUUAUGUAACAGAUGCAAAGGUGAACUUGGUGUGUCUUCUAGAGACGAAGUUAGAUGUACUUGAUACAUAUUUGGUGAUGCAAUGCAUUGGGCCAUCUUUUGAUGGUCUUGCUUAUCUCCCGGCGAUCGAUACG
rnacentral:rRNA from 1 species